rnacentral:rRNA from 2 species
GACGAACGCUGGCGGCGUGCCUAAUACAUGCAAGUCGAACGAACUCUGGUAUUGAUUGGUGCUUGCAUCAUGAUUUACAUUUGAGUGAGUGGCGAACUGGUGAGUAACACGUGGGAAACCUGCCCAGAAGCGGGGGAUAACACCUGGAAACAGAUGCUAAUACCGCAUAACAACUUGGACCGCAUGGUCCGAGCUUGAAAGAUGGCUUCGGCUAUCACUUUUGGAUGGUCCCGCGGCGUAUUAGCUAGAUGGUGGGGUAACGGCUCACCAUGGCAAUGAUACGUAGCCGACCUGAGAGGGUAAUCGGCCACAUUGGGACUGAGACACGGCCCAAACUCCUACGGGAGGCAGCAGUAGGGAAUCUUCCACAAUGGACGAAGGUCUGAUGGAGCAACGCCGCGUGAGUGAAGAAGGGUUUCGGCUCGUAAAACUCUGUUGUUAAAGAAGAACAUAUCUGAGAGUAACUGUUCAGGUAUUGACGGUAUUUAACCAGAAAGCCACGGCUAACUACGUGCCAGCAGCCGCGGUAAUACGUAGGUGGCAAGCGUUGUCCGGAUUUAUUGGGCGUAAAGCGAGCGCAGGCGGUUUUUUAAGUCUGAUGUGAAAGCCUUCGGCUCAACCGAAGAAGUGCAUCGGAAACUGGGAAACUUGAGUGCAGAAGAGGACAGUGGAACUCCAUGUGUAGCGGUGAAAUGCGUAGAUAUAUGGAAGAACACCAGUGGCGAAGGCGGCUGUCUGGUCUGUAACUGACGCUGAGGCUCGAAAGUAUGGGUAGCAAACAGGAUUAGAUACCCUGGUAGUCCAUACCGUAAACGAUGAAUGCUAAGUGUUGGAGGGUUUCCGCCCUUCAGUGCUGCAGCUAACGCAUUAAGCAUUCCGCCUGGGGAGUACGGCCGCAAGGCUGAAACUCAAAGGAAUUGACGGGGGCCCGCACAAGCGGUGGAGCAUGUGGUUUAAUUCGAAGCUACGCGAAGAACCUUACCAGGUCUUGACAUACUAUGCAAAUCUAAGAGAUUAGACGUUCCCUUCGGGGACAUGGAUACAGGUGGUGCAUGGUUGUCGUCAGCUCGUGUCGUGAGAUGUUGGGUUAAGUCCCGCAACGAGCGCAACCCUUAUUAUCAGUUGCCAGCAUUAAGUUGGGCACUCUGGUGAGACUGCCGGUGACAAACCGGAGGAAGGUGGGGAUGACGUCAAAUCAUCAUGCCCCUUAUGACCUGGGCUACACACGUGCUACAAUGGAUGGUACAACGAGUUGCGAACUCGCGAGAGUAAGCUAAUCUCUUAAAGCCAUUCUCAGUUCGGAUUGUAGGCUGCAACUCGCCUACAUGAAGUCGGAAUCGCUAGUAAUCGCGGAUCAGCAUGCCGCGGUGAAUACGUUCCCGGGCCUUGUACACACCGCCCGUCACACCAUGAGAGUUUGUAACACCCAAAGUCGGUGGGGUAACCUUUUAGGAACCAGCCGCCUAAGGUGGGACAGAUGAUUAGGGUG